GACGAACGCUGGCGGCGUGCUUAACACAUGCGAGUCGAACGGAAAGGCCCUGCUUUUGUGGGGUGCUCGAGUGGCGAACGGGUGAGUAACACGUGAGUAACCUGCCCUUGACUUUGGGAUAACUUCAGGAAACUGGGGCUAAUACCGGAUAGGAGCUCCUGCUGCAUGGUGGUGGUUGGAAAGUUUCGGCGGUUGGGGAUGGACUCGCGGCUUAUCAGCUUGUUGGUGGGGUAGUGGCUUACCAAGGCUUUGACGGGUAGCCGGCCUGAGAGGGUGACCGGCCACAUUGGGACUGAGAUACGCCCCAGACUCCUACGGGAGGCAGCAGUGGGGAAUAUUGCACAAUGGGCGGAAGCCUGAUGCAGCAACGCCGCGUGCGGGAUGACGGCCUUCGGGUUGUAAACCGCUUUCGCAUGUGACGAAGCGUGAGUGACGGUAAUGGGUAAAGAAGCACCGGCUAACUACGUG
rnacentral:rRNA from 1 species